CGGGGUGUAGCGCAGCCCGGUAGCGCACUUGCUUGGGGUGCAAGAGGUCGUGGGUUCAAAUCCCGCCACUCCGA
rnacentral:tRNA from 1 species